AAAAACAUCGCCUCUUGCCAAUAAAAUAUAAGAGGUCCUGCCUGCCCUGUGACAUAACGUUUAACGGCCGCGGUAUCUUGACCGUGUGAAGGUAGCGUAAUCAUUUGUCUUUUAAAUGAAGACCUGUAUGAAUGGCGCAACGAGAGCUUAACUGUCUCACUCUCUUAGUCAAUGAAAUUGAUCUCCCCGUGCAGAAGCGAGGAUAAAAACAUAAGACGAAAAGACCCUAUGGAGCUUUAGAGUCUGAAACAGCCUAGACAUCCUAAAUUUAACUAUUUCUGGGCCCUGCUUCAAAUCUCUUCGGUUGGGGCGACCAUGGAGAAAAAUUAAACCUCCACGAAAAGAACACUUAUAUUUCUUUAAAAUAAGAGCCACAACUCUAACUUUCAGAAGCUCUGCUUAUAAAUGAUCCGGCAUAACACCCGAUCAACGAAACAAGUUACCCUAGGGAUAACAGCGCAAUCCCCUUCUAGAGUCCACAUCGACAAGGGGGUUUACGACCUCGAUGUUGGAUCAGGACAUCCUAAUGGCGCAACCGCUAUUAAGGGCUCGUUUGUUCAACGAUUAAAGUCCUACGUGAU
rnacentral:rRNA from 2 species